GCUGGUGUAGCCCAAUUGGCAGAGGCAGCCGACUUAAAAUCGGCAAAGUCUGGGUCCGAAUCCCAGCACCAGCACCA
rnacentral:tRNA from 1 species